AUUGAACGCUGGCGGAAUGCUUUACACAUGCAAGUCGAACGGUAGAGGGGGCAACCCCUCGAGAGUGGCGAACGGGUGAGUAAUAUAUCGGAACGUGCCCAGUCGUGGGGGAUAACGUAGCGAAAGUUACGCUAAUACCGCAUACGAUCUAAGGAUGAAAGCGGGGGAUCGCAAGACCUCGCGCGAUUGGAGCGGCCGAUAUCAGAUUAGGUAGUUGGUGGGGUAAAGGCUCACCAAGCCAACGAUCUGUAGCUGGUCUGAGAGGACGACCAGCCACACUGGAACUGAGACACGGUCCAGACUCCUACGGGAGGCAGCAGUGGGGAAUUUUGGACAAUGGACGCAAGUCUGAUCCAGCCAUUCCGCGUGCAGGAUGAAGGCCCUCGGGUUGUAAACUGCUUUUGUACGGAACGAAAAGGCCUCUCUUAAUACGGGGGACUCAUGACGGUACCGUAAGAAUAAGCACCGGCUAACUACGUGCCAGCAGCCGCAGUAA
rnacentral:rRNA from 1 species